UACGGGGGGUGCGAGCGUUGUCCGGAAUCACUGGGCGUAAAGGGCGCGUAGGCGGUCUUAUAAGGGUGUGGUGAAAGCCCGGGGCUCAACCCCGGGUCGGCCGUGCCGACUGUAAGACUAGAGUGCUGUAGGGGCAGGCGGAAUUCCCGGUGUAGCGGUGAAAUGCGCAGAUAUCGGGAAGAACACCUAUGGCGAAGGCAGCUCUCUGGGACGGUACUGACGCUGAGACGCGAAAGCGUGGGGAGCGAACAGG
rnacentral:rRNA from 1 species